rnacentral:rRNA from 1 species
AACGAACGCUGGCGGCAGGCCUAACACAUGCAAGUCGAGCGCGCCCUUCGGGGUGAGCGGCGGACGGGUGAGUAACGCGUGGGAACGUGCCCUUCUCUGCGGAAUAGCCUCGGGAAACUGAGAGUAAUACCGCAUACGCCCUUUGGGGGAAAGAUUUAUCGGAGAAGGAUCGGCCUGCGUUGGAUUAGGUAGUUGGUGGGGUAAUGGCCCACCAAGCCGACGAUCCAUAGCUGGUUUGAGAGGAUGAUCAGCCACACUGGGACUGAGACACGGCCCAGACUCCUACGGGAGGCAGCAGUGGGGAAUCUUAGACAAUGGGGGCAACCCUGAUCUAGCCAUGCCGCGUGAGUGAUGAAGGCCUUAGGGUUGUAAAGCUCUUUCAGCUGGGAAGAUAAUGACGGUACCAGCAGAAGAAGCCCCGGCUAACUCCGUG